CUUUGACCACUGUUAAUCCAUGCU
rnacentral:piRNA from 2 species